GGAGAGGAUUGCUUUUGGGAUGACUGAAAGUUCAGAUUCAAUGCCAUGUACAAGAUACAGUGAGUGCACCUGGCAGCAGAGGCUCUCCUGGUUCAGUGGGUUGCAACUUUAAGGUGUUCCCUAGAAGAAACUUCUUGCUUCCUGGCAGUGCUCAUUACACACUUCAAGAUAGCCUUUUCUUCAGGACCUGGUGUAUUUUGUAUCUCUUCACAAACAAACAGUGAAAAGAUCUGAAUUACAAUAAGAUGCCUCUGCCUUCCAUCACAACUGGCUGUCAACUCUCUUGAAAGGCUGUUUUCUAAACCAGAGUGAUGCCUCAGGUGCAGAAGAGAGAGACAAUAAUUAACAAUGUGGCCUACAGCAUCUUGGGGAACAAUUAAUUUUAGUGAAUGGACAGGGGGAGGAAGAGAGAAGCAAAACGAGAACUCAUGAAAACAGUGGGAAUACAUACAUCCUAUUGCUCAGGCUGAUGGUUACAGCAGUGGCUUCUUUCAGCCUCAGGUCCCUGCUCCCUAUCAUUUGUAGGACAGUAUUUAAUCUCCGUCAUGACUCCAGCCAGUCAGACACAAGACAUGUUGGCACUUUUCUGAGAGUAUGUUUAGCUGCCCAUGCAGAUGCAGCCUUGCUCUGUGAUUUGAUUCCUCUUU